rnacentral:rRNA from 1 species
GGAGGCUUAGAAGUGUGGACGCCAGUCUGCAUGGAGCCGACCUUGAAAUACCACCCUUUAAUGUUUGAUGUUCUAACGUUGACCCGUAAUCCGGGUUGCGGACAGUGUCUGGUGGGUAGUUUGACUGGGGCGGUCUCCUCCUAAAGAGUAACGGAGGAGCACGAAGGUUGGCUAAUCCUGGUCGGACAUCAGGAGGUUAGUGCAAUGGCAUAAGCCAGCUUGACUGCGAGCGUGACGGCGCGAGCAGGUGCGAAAGCAGGUCAUAGUGAUCCGGUGGUUCUGAAUGGAAGGGCCAUCGCUCAACGGAUAAAAGGUACUCCGGGGAUAACAGGCUGAUACCGCCCAAGAGUUCAUAUCGACGGCGGUGUUUGGCACCUCGAUGUCGGCUCAUCACAUCCUGGGGCUGAAGUAGGUCCCAAGGGUAUGGCUGUUCGCCAUUUAAAGUGGUACGCGAGCUGGGUUUAGAACGUCGUGAGACAGUUCGGUCCCUAUCUGCCGUGGGCGCUGGAGAACUGAGGGGGGCUGCUCCUAGUACGAGAGGACCGGAGUGGACGCAUCACUGGUGUUCGGGUUGUCAUGCCAAUGGCACUGCCCGGUAGCUAAAUGCGGAAGAGAUAAGUGCUGAAAGCAUCUAAGCACGAAACUUGCC